rnacentral:rRNA from 1 species
AUGUCAUUAUAUACGCAACAUGUACACGCAUGUCCACUCCAGUCCAGGUCACUACGGCUUUACAUCCACACAAUAUCAAGAGGAGCGCUAGGUCCGGCCAUGGCACCGGCGGUGGUGGAGAGGUGGGCGGGGCUCGGAUCGGCGGUGGCGACCGUCAUCUUCCUCUGGUCCGUGGUGCAGAACUACGUGCCCCCCACCUUCCGCCUCUACCUCACCACGUGGGCCGCCAAGCUCGCUGCCUUCUUCAAUCCCUACCUCCAGAUCACCAUUUCCGAGUACGGCGCCGAGCGCUUCCAGCGCAGCGACUUCUUCCUUGCCGUCGAGGCCUACCUCAGCGAUGCCUGCGCCCGCCGCGCGCGCAAGCUCAAGGCUGAGCUCGGCAAGGACAGCAAGAACCUCCGGGUCUCCGUGGACGACCACGAGGAGGUCACUGACGACUUCUCCGGGAUCACCAUCUGGUGGUACGCCUCCAAGAGGCAGUCCAAGGCCAACGUCAUCAGCUUAUACCCCGGCGGGGACGAGAGGCGCUUCUACCGAGUCGUCUUCCAUCAGCGGCACCGCGACCUUGUCGUUGACUCCUACCUUCCUUUCGUACUCGGCGAGGGCCGCGCUGUCACUGUGAAGAACCGCCAACGCCGCCUCUUCACCAACAAUGCUAGUGGUAGUUGGAACCCCUACAAGGGCAAAAGCGUCUGGAGCCAUGUCCCCUUCGAGCACCCCGCCACCUUUGACACGCUCGCCAUGCACCCCGAUGAGAAGGAAGCUGUCAUCGACGACCUCAUGGCCUUCCAGGAGAGCAAGGAAUACUAUGCCAAGGUCGGCAAGGCGUGGAAGCGCGGGUACCUUCUUUACGGACCGCCUGGCACCGGCAAGUCUACCAUGAUCGCCGCCAUGGCCAACUUCCUCGACUAUGACGUCUACGACCUCGAGCUCACGGCGGUCAAGAACAACACCGAGUUACGGAAGCUCUUCAUCGAGACAACGGGCAAGUCCAUCAUCGUCAUAGAGGACAUCGACUGCUCCGUCGACUUCACAGGAAAACGCCGCAAGGACAAGAAGGCCUCAAGCAACAAGGACUCCGACAACGAUGACAAGCCCAAGCUACCGAUAGAGCCAGAGAAGGACGAUGCCACCAAGGUGACGCUCUCGGGUCUGCUUAACUUCAUCGACGGGCUGUGGUCUGCUUGCGGAGGUGAGCGGAUCAUCAUCUUCACCACCAACCACAAGGAGAAGCUGGACCCGGCGCUGAUCCGGCGGGGCAGGAUGGACAAGCACAUCGAGAUGUCCUACUGCCGCUUUGAGGGCUUCAAGGUGCUCGCCAAGAACUACCUAGAUGUCAUUGAGCACGAGCUGUUUGGGGAAGUCCAGCGCCUGCUCGAGGAGACCGACAUGUCGCCCGCUGACGUUGCAGAGAACCUGAUGCCCAUGUCGAAGAAGAAAAAGAGGGACCCGGAUGUGUGCUUGAUAGGCCUAAUCGAGGCGCUCAAGCAGGCCAAGGAGGAAGCGGCGGCGGCCAAGGUGAAGGAGGCAGAGGAGGCUCAAGCGAAGAAAGCCAAGGAGAAAGAGGAGACAGAGGUGAAGAAAGGCAAAGACAAAGACAAAGCACCCGAGGCAGCCAAUGGGGAUAUUAAGCAAGGUGACAAGUGA